rnacentral:tRNA from 1 species
GUGGAUGUGACUCAGUGAUAGAGUACUUGCUUAGUAUGUAUGAGGUCCUGGGUUUGAUCCCCAGUAACA